rnacentral:misc_RNA from 1 species
UGAAUUGCGUUAAGAAUCACGAAUUACAGAUAUUAUGAGUGACAUAUUUUCGAUUGCAUAUUGCAUCGUCGGGCAUUUGCCCUUCGGUAUACCCAACUCAGGGUGUGAUUCCAAAAACUCCGAGUUUUAGUUGGUGCAAUGCAUUCGUGGUUGCGCUAAUCGAAAGGAAUUCUACAUCGCUAUUGAUUGUGUCGUUGCGUUAAAGAAGCAUCUUGUGAGUGAAAGGAGUUCUCGCAUUUUCGCUAUCUACUCCUUUUCAGUAAAUUCUAUCGAAGAGGUUUGGGUAUGCAGGAGUGGGGGAGUGCUUUGCAACACCAGACACUGGUAUAAUCCACCUGAGUUGUGUAUGACUACCUGCUGAACUUAA